rnacentral:rRNA from 1 species
AGUGAACGCUGGCGGUAGGCCUAACACAUGCAAGUCGAACGGCAGCACAGUAAGAGCUUGCUCUUACGGGUGGCGAGUGGCGGACGGGUGAGGAAUACAUCGGAAUCUACUUUUUCGUGGGGGAUAACGUAGGGAAACUUACGCUAAUACCGCAUACGACCUACGGGUGAAAGCAGGGGAUCUUCGGACCUUGCGCGAUUGACUGAGCCGAUGUCGGAUUAGCUAGUUGGCGGGGUAAAGGCCCACCAAGGCGACGAUCCGUAGCUGGUCUGAGAGGAUGAUCAGCCACACUGGAACUGAGACACGGUCCAGACUCCUACGGGAGGCAGCAGUGGGGAAUAUUGGUCAAUGGGCGCAAGCCUGAUCCAGCCAUACCGCGUGAGUGAAGAAGGCCUUCGGGUUGUAAAGCCCUUUUGUUAGGAAAGAAAAGCAGCAGGUUAAUACCCCGCUGUUCUGACGGUACCCAAAGAAUAAGCACCGGCUAACUUCGUG